AAACUGAAGAGUUUGAUCCUGGCUCAGAUUGAACGCUGGCGGCAUGCCUUACACAUGCAAGUCGAACGGCAGCACGGGUGCUUGCACCUGGUGGCGAGUGGCGAACGGGUGAGUAAUACAUCGGAACA
rnacentral:rRNA from 2 species